rnacentral:rRNA from 1 species
AGGACGAACGCUGGCGGCGUGCCUAACACAUGCAAGUCGAACGGGGUUAUGCCUUCGGGUGUAGACCAAGUGGCGGACGGGUGAGUAACGCGUGAGUGACCUGCCUUACAGAGGGGGAUAACACUUGGAAACAGGUGCUAAAACCGCAUAAGACCACGGCCCUGCAUGGGGCUGGGGUAAAAUGAGCGAUCAGCUGUAAGAGGGGCUCGCGUCUCAUUAGAUAGUUGGCGGGAUAACAGCCCACCAAGUCAACGAUGAGUAGCCGGCCUGAGAGGGUGGACGGCCACACUGGGACUGAGACACGGCCCAGACUCCUACGGGAGGCAGCAGUGGGGAAUAUUGGGCAAUGGGGGGAAAAACCCCCUGACCCAGCGACGCCGCGUGAGGGAAGAAGGUUUUCGGAUUGUAAACCUCUGUACUGCGGGACGAGGAGAAGACGGUACCGCAGAAGGAAGCCCCGGCUAACUACGUGCCAGCAGCAGC